CCUACGGGAGGCAGCAGUAGGGAAUCUUCCACAAUGGGCGAAAGCCUGAUGGAGCAACGCCGCGUGGGUGAAGAAGGUCUUCGGAUCGUAAAACCCUGUUGUUAGAGACGAAAGUGCGUUAGAGUAACUGUUCACGUUUCGACGGUAUCUAACCAAAAAGCCCCGGCUAACUACGUGCCAGCAGCCGCGGUAAUACGUAGGUUGCAAGCGUUAUCCGGAUUUAUUGGGCGUAAAGGGAACGCAGGCGGUCUAUUAAGUCUGAUGUGAAAGCCUUGGGCUUAACCGGAGUAGUGCAUUGGAAACGGGGAGACUAGAGUGCAGAAGAGGAGAGUAGAACUCCAUGUGUAGCGGUGAAAUGCGUAGAGAUAUGGAAGAACACCAGUGGCGAAAGCGGCUCUCUGGUCUGUAACUGACGCUGAGGUGCGAAAGCGUGGGUAGCAAACAGGAUUAGAUACCCCAGUAGUC
rnacentral:rRNA from 1 species